rnacentral:rRNA from 1 species
GGAGAAUUUUGGACAAUGGGCGAAAGCCUGAUCCAGCCAUGCCGCGUGCAGGAUGAAGGCCUUCGGGUUGUAAACUGCUUUUGUACGGAACGAAACGGCCUUUUCUUAUAAAGAGGGCUAGUGACGGUACCGUA